rnacentral:misc_RNA from 1 species
GAUGAAGAACGCAGCGAAAUGCGAUAAGUAAUGUGAAUUGCAGAAUUCAGUGAAUCAUCGAAUCUUUGAACGCACAUUGCGCCCGCCAGUAUUCUGGCGGGCAUGCCUGUUCGAGCGUCAUUACAACCCUCAGGCCCCCGGGCCUGGCGUUGGGGAUCGGCGGAGCCCCCCGUGGGCACACGCCGUCCCCCAAAUACAGUGGCGGUCCCGCCGCAGCUUCCAUCGCGUAGUAGCUAACACCUCGCGACUGGAGAGCGGCGCGGCCACGCCGUAAAACACCCAACUCUUCUGAAGUUGACCUCGAAUCAGGUAGGAAUACCCGCUGAACUUAAGCAUAUCAUAGCGGAGGA